rnacentral:rRNA from 1 species
UAGGGAAUCUUGCGCAAUGGGCGAAAGCCUGACGCAGCGACGCCGCGUGAGGGAAGAAGGCCUUCGGGUUGUAAACCUCUUUCAGGAGGGACGAAGCCACUCGGGUUAAUAGCCUAGAGGGUGACGGUACCUCCAGAAGAAGCCCCGGCUAACUACGUGCCAGCAGCCGCGGUAAUACGUAGGGGGCAAGCGUUGUCCGGAUUUAUUGGGCGUAAAGAGCGUGUAGGCGGCCUUACAGGUCAGCUGUGAAAACUCGAGGCUCAACCUCGAGACGUCGGUUGAAACCGUAUGGCUAGAGUCCGGAAGAGGAGAGUGGAAUUCCCGGUGUAGCGGUGAAAUGCGCAGAUAUCGGGAAGAACACCCGUGGCGAAGGCGGCUCUCUGGGACGGUACUGACGCUGAGACGCGAAAGCGUGGGGAGCGAACAGGAUUAGAUACCCUGGUAGUCCACGCCGUAAACGAUGGGCACUAGGUGUGGCGGGUAUCGACUCCCGCUGUGCCGAAGCUAACGCAUUAACG